rnacentral:rRNA from 1 species
UAGGGAAUCCUCCGCAAUGGGCGAAAGCCUGACGGAGCAACGCCGCGUGAGUGAUGAAGGUCUUCGGAUCGUAAAACUCUGUUAUUAGGGAAGAACAAAUGUGUAAGUAACUAUGCACGUCUUGACGGUACCUAAUCAGAAAGCCACGGCUAACUACGUGCCAGCAGCCGCGGUAAUACGUAGGUGGCAAGCGUUAUCCGGAAUUAUUGGGCGUAAAGCGCGCGUAGGCGGUUUUUUAAGUCUGAUGUGAAAGCCCACGGCUCAACCGUGGAGGGUCAUUGGAAACUGGAAAACUUGAGUGCAGAAGAGGAAAGUGGAAUUCCAUGUGUAGCGGUGAAAUGCGCAGAGAUAUGGAGGAACACCAGUGGCGAAGGCGACUUUCUGGUCUGUAACUGACGCUGAUGUGCGAAAGGGUGGGGAUCAAACAGG